rnacentral:rRNA from 1 species
UACGAAGGGUGCAAGCGUUAAUCGGAAUUACUGGGCGUAAAGCGCGCGUAGGUGGUUCAGCAAGUUGGAUGUGAAAGCCCCUGGGCUCAACCGUGGGAACUGCAGUCCAAAACUACUGAGCUAGAGUACGGUAGAGGGUAGUGGAAUUUCCUGUGUAGCGGUGAAAUGCGUAGAUAUAGGAAGGAACACCAGUGGGCGAAAGGCGACGUACCUGGACUGAUACUGACACUGAGGUGCG